UUUUUUUUUCUUUCUGUUUUGUUGCGUCCACAGUAUCAUAAUUCUGUGAUGAUUGUGUCUUUUGUGUUUCUUUUGUGUUUGAGCAAAGCAAAACCUUUAUGACUAGUCUUGGUGAUGGUUGUUUGGUCCUGUUGGAAAAAGACAGAAACUUUUCGCUCACGAGAUGAUUUUUACUUUUUAUUCAGAAAGAGCUUUUGAGUUAAUUAUUUUUGCUGCUGGUUGAUACGCCUUUUGCCCAGGCAGUCGUAAUUGUUCAGAAUUUUGGAGGUACCAGAAGUAUACGAAGUAUACAGAUUGCUACAGACUGGUGUGUUUUUGACAGAUUCUGUUUUUGUUGAGUUGGUUGCUUGUUUUGAUGAAACAAUGGUUAGUAUCGGGGGGUACUAGCCAUGGAAAAGUGAGAAUAUAGUAGCCCAACAACAAUAUAAAUAGAAAUCAAGAUUGCUACAGUACCUAAAGAGGUGGUAGUUUGUUUUCUUGUGCUAAUGAUAUCACGAGUUUCUGUUUAAGCUUUGUGUUGUGAAGUUUUCAAGUUUUGGGUGAUGUUCUCAUGGACAAAGAGAUAAGGAGUGGAAAGAUCUCAAGCUUGGGGAUGCCCAAGGCAUCCCAAGCCAAAUUCAAGGACACCAAAAAGCCUAAGCUUGGGGAUGCCCCGGGAAGGCAUCCCCUCUUUCGUCUUCAAUCCAUCGGUAACACUACUUGGAGCUAUAUUUUUAUUCACCACAUGAUAUGUGUUUUGCUUGGAGCGUCUUGUAUCUUAGGAGUAUUUUCUUUUUGUUGUGUCACAAUCAUCCUUGCUACACACCUUUAUAGGUAGACAUGCACUCAUCGUGAUUUUGCUAGAAUGCCCAUUGUGCUUCACUUAUAUCUUUUGAGCUAGAUAAUUUUGCUCUAUGUGUUUCACUUAGAUCUUUUAGACCACGGCGGUGCGAGACUUGGUAGUUGGCUUAUGCUUUGAAAGUAGUACCAAAGGUCAUAGGUACCCAAAGAGGAUACAAAAACCUCCAUCUUCAUGUGAAUUAAGUAGAAAGAGAAGUUUUGAUUCCUCUCAAUUAGCUAUGAGACGUGGAUUUGGUAAUACUAAGAGUUAUGUUAGUAGGGUGUUGUGAAUCUAGAAAUACUUGUGUUGAAGUUAGUGAUUCCCGUAGCAUGCACGUAUUGUGAACCGCUAUGUUAGGAAGUCGGAGCAUAAUUGAUCUAUUGAUUGUCAUCCUUUGUGUUGAGGUCGGGAUCGCGCGAUGGUUAACACCUACCAACCCUUCCCCUNNNNNNNNNNNNNNNNNNNNNNNNNNNNNNNNNNNNNNNNNNNNNNNNNNNNNNNNNNNNNNNNNNNNNNNNNNNNNNNNNNNNNNNNNNNNNNNNNNNNNNNNNNNNNNNNNNNNNNNNNNNNNNNNNNNNNNNNNNNNNNNNNNNNNNNNNNNNNNNNNNNNNNNNNNNNNNNNNNNNNNNNNNNNNNNNNNAAGUAUGUGAGUUCUUCAUGACUAAUGUGAGUCCAUGGUAUAGAUGCACUUUCACCUUCCACCAUUGCUAGCCUCUCUAGUGCCGCGCAACUCUCGCCGGUGCACAAACCCACCAUAUGCCUUCCUCAAAACAGCCACCAUACCUACCUACUAUGGCAUUUUCAUAGCCAUUCCGAGAUAUAUUGCCAUGAAACUCCCACCGUUCCAUCUCAUGACUUGUGCCGUCGCUCUCAUAUUGACAUUGCAUGAUCGUAAGAUAGCUAGCGAGAUGUUUCAACGUCAUACGCCAAGCUUGAUCGUUGCACAUCCCGGUACACUGCCGGAGGCAUUUCCUAUAGAGUCAUUUCUAAGCUUUGAGCUGUGAGUAAAUAAAAGUGUGAUGAUCAUCAUUAUUAGAGCAUUGUCCCAUGUGAGGAAAUAAAAAAAAUAAGAGGCCAAAGAGCCCAAAUAAAAAAAAGAGAAAAAAGAGGCCCAAGACCCCAAAUAAAAAAUAAAAAAUAAAGGGAGAAAAAGAGAGAAGGGACAAUGCUACUAUCUUUUUACACACUUGUGCUUCAUAAUAGCACCAUGUUCUUCAUGAUUGAGAGCCUCUCGUUUCGUCACCACCAUAUGCUAGUGGGAAUCUUCAUUAUAAAAAUUGGCUUGUAUAUUCCAAUGAUGGGCUUCCUCAAAAUUGCCCUAGGUCUUCGUCAGCAAGCAAGUUGGAUGCACACCCACUAGUUCUCCUUUUGAGCUUUCACAUACUUAUAGCUCUAGUGAAUCCUUUGUAUGGCAAUCCCUACUCAUUCACAUUGAUAUCUAUUAAUGGGCAUCUCCAUAGCCUUUUGAUAUGCCGAGUCAAUGUGACCAUCUCCUCCUUUUUUGUCUCACAACCACCACCACACUCUAUUCCACCUAUAGUACUAUAUCCAUGGCUCACGCUCAUGUAUUGCGUGAUAGUUAUAAAAAGUUUGAGAAAGUAAGAGUGCGAAAACAAUUAUUGGCCAAUACCGGGGUUGUGCAUGAUUUACAUUAGUUGUGUGAGGAUGAUGGAGCAUAGCCAUACUAUAUGAUUUUGUAGGGAUAACUUUCUUUGGCCUUGUUAUUUUGAAAGUUCAUGAUUACCUUGCUAGUUUGCUUGAAGUGUUAUUUUUUUCAUGUCAAUAGCAAACUAUAGUUUUGAAUCUUGCGGAUGUGAACAUUCAUGUUACAUGAAAGAAGUUGCAAAGGACAACUAUGCUAGGUAGCAUUCCACAUCAAAAAUUCAUUCUUUAUCACUUUGCCACUCGAGGACGAGCAUGAGUUAAGCUUGGGGAUGCUUGAUACGUCUCCAACGUAUCUAUAAUUUUUGAUGGUUUCAUGCUAUUAUCUUGUCAAACUUUGGACGUUUUGUAUGCCUUUUAUAUCCUUUUUGAGACAAACCUAUUAACUCAGUGCCAAGUGCCAGUUCCUGUUUUUUCCAUGUUUUUGACCCCUUUCAGAGGAGGAUUUUAAACGGAACGAAACUGCCAAAUAGAUUUUUUUCCGAAACAGAAAAAGAUCGAGAAGCCUGAGAAUCAGGGCAGGGGGCCACCAGGCACCCCACAAGCCCCCUAGCCGCGGCCAAGGGGGCACGCGCAUCCCAGGCUUGUGGGCUCCCUGGGCCUCCUCUGCCCUAGGUCUUUCGCCUAUAAAUUCCCUAAAAUCCCAGAAAACAUCAGGAGAUCAUCGAAAGUACUUUUCCGCCGCCACAAGCUUCUGUCUCCGCAAGAUCCCAUCUGGGGCACGUUUUGGUGCCCUGUCGGAGGGGUGAUUCGAAUAGAGAGGGCUUCUUCAUCAANNNNNNNNNNNNNNNNNNNNNNNNNNNNNNNNNNNNNNNNNNNNNNNNNNNNNNNNNNNNNNNNNNNNNNNNNNNNNNNNNNNNNNNNNNNNNNNNNNNNNNNNNNNNNNNNNNNNNNNNNNNNNNNNNNNNNNNNNNNNNNNNNNNNNNNNNNNNNNNNNNNNNNNNNNNNNNNNNNGGUCCAUAGCUAGUAGCUAGAUGGCUUCUUCUCUCUCUUGGAUCUUCAAUACAAAGUUCUCCAUGAUAUUCAUGGAGAUUUAUCCGAUGUAAUCUUCUUUUGCGGUGUGUUUGUCCAGAUCCGAUGAAUUGUGGAUUUAUGAUCAGAUUAUCUAUGAAUCUUAUUUGAGUUUCUUCUGAUCUCUCUUAUGCAUGAUUUCACAUCCUUGUAAUUCUCUUCGAGUUGUGGGUUUUGUUUGGCCAACUAGAUCUAUGAUUCUUCCAAUGGGAGAAGUGCUUGGUUUUGGGUUCAUACCGUGCGGUGAUCUCACCCAGUGACAGAAGGGGUAGCGAGGCACGCAUCAUGUUGUUGCCAUCAAGGGUAAAAAGAUGGGGUUUUCAUCAUUGGUUUGAGAUUAUCCCUCUACAUCAUGUCAUCUUGCUUAAGGCAUUACUCUGUUCGUCAUGAACUCAAUACACUAGAUGCAUGCUGGAUAGCGGUCGAUGGGUGGAGUAAUAGUAGUAGAUGCAGAAAGUAUCGGUCUACUUGUCUCAGACGUGAUUCCUAUAUGUAUGAUCAUUGCCUUAGAUAUCGUCAUGACUUUGCUUUGUUCUAUCAAUUACUCGACAGUAAUAUGUUCACCCACCCCGAUAUUUGCUAUUUUGAGAGAAGCCUCUAGUGAACACUAUGGCCCCCGGGUCUACUCCACACCAUAUUUUCAGCCUUACACUUUUUCUUUGUUGUACUUUCCGCCUUCAGAUCUGACUUUGCAACCAAUCUUGAAGGGAUUGACAACCCCUUUAUAGCGUUGGGUGCAAGCUCUUUUGUGUUUGUGCAGGUACUCUGGACUUGACGAGAUUCUCCUACUGGAUUGAUACCUUGGUUCUCAAACUGAGGGAAAUACUUACCACCGCUACGCUACNNNNNNNNNNNNNNNNNNNNNNNNNNNNNNNNNNNNNNNNNNNNNNNNNNNNNNNNNNNNNNNNNNNNNNNNNNNNNNNNNNNNNNNNNNNNNNNNNNNNUGCAAGUUGUAGUUACCUUCUAUGUGUUAUGAUCCGGCAACCCCGGAGUGACAAUAACCGGAACCACGCCCGAUGAUGACCAUAGUUUGAGGAGUUCAUGUGUUCACCAAGUGCUAAUGCGUUGGUCCGGUUCUUUAUUAAAAGGAGAACCUUAAUAUCCCGUAGUUUCCUUUUGGACCCCGCUGCCACGGGAGGGAUGGACAAUAGAUGUCAUGCAAGUUCUUUUCCCUAAGCAUGUAUGACGACACAUGGAAUGCAUGCCUACAUCACAUUAACGAACGGGAGCUAGCCACAUAUCUCUCCGUGUUAUAACUGUUGCAUGAUGAAUAUCAUCCAAACAAAUCACCGACCCAUUGCCUACGAGUUUGUCCCACUGCUGUUGUUACUUGUUUUUCUCUGUUGCUGUUACUACUAUUGUUGCUGUUGUUACUUGCUCUGCUGUUACUUGCUACUGUUGCUACUUGCUGCUGUUGCCACUACUGUUACUUUGCUGUUGAUACUUUGCUUGCAGAUAUUAAUCUUUCAGGUGUGGUUGAAUCUAACACAUUCAGCUGCUAAUACUUGAGAGUAUCCUCUCACUUCCUAUCGGCGAAUCAACAAAUUUGGGUUGAAUACUCUACCCUCAAAAAUUGCCUCGAUCCCACCCGUUGGUGGGUAAUUGCAAGACAAUUUCUAAUUGUUGAGCAAUCGGGAAUAGCACCCAUCUAGCUACCGCCAGAGAGUGCCAGUUAGCAUUUUUCUAGCGCCGUUGCCGGGGAGGUAUUGCUAUAUUCUCUGAGUCACUUGGGAUUUAUAUCUGCUGAUCACUAUGAAGAAUCUGAAGGAUCCAAAAACCAAAGUCUUGCCCUCAACUACGAGGGGAGGUAAGGAAUUGCCAUCUAGCUCUACACUUGAUUCACCUUCAGUUAUGAGUAAGUUUGCGACAUCACCUCCUGCUAGAAAUCUAGAUAUGUCGCAUGUGCUUGAUGAUGCUUAUGAUACUUCUAGAGAUGCUAUGCCUGAUACUGCUAGAGAUGUUAUGCCUGAUACUGCUAGAGAUGCUAUGCCUAAUACUGCUUUGCCUGAUGAUGCUAGAGAUUCUAUUAUGCAUGAUGAUGCAAUGCUUAUACUGCUAGAGAUACUACUUUGCCUGAUGUUCCACUAAGGGUGUUCCUUGAUGCUCAUAUUGUUAGAGUUAUUGCCAAUGCUCGUGAUGUUUCUGAAACUACCAAUACUAUUGAGAUAGAACCUGCUUUUGCUCCUGCUAGAUCUAGCUCUCCUAGAUAUGAAUUGCCUGAUAUACCUGAGGGUUACGUUAUGGAGGGAGAGAUAGCUGAGGAUUUUCUUGCGUGUAAGGAUGCCUAUGACGCUGAGAAAUUACUUCUCAAGUGGAAGGAAAAAUCUCUGAAAGCUAGGAUGAAAUACGACCCGAAGUUCGCCACUUCACCUAUCUUUAUCAUCGAUAAGGAUUAUGAAUUCUCUGUCGAUCCUGAGAUAAUCUCUCUAGUCGAAUCUGAUCCUUUCCACGGUUAUGAGUCUAAGACGGUCGUAGCCCAUCUUACCAAACUACACGAUAUAGCCACCCUUUUCACUAGUGAGGAGAAGGUCCGCCACUACUACAUCCUUAAGUUGUUUCCUUUCUCUUUAAAGGAUGACGCUAAAGCCUGGUUCACCUCUCUUGCUCCUGGAUGUGUGAGUAGUCCCCAGGAUAUGGUCUAUUACUUCUGUGAGAAAUAUUUCCCUGCCCAUAAGAAGCAAGCUGCCUUGCAGGAAAUAUACAACUUUGUUCAACUCCAAGAAGAGAGCCUCCCACAAGCUUGGGGGAGGCUCAUCCAGCUACAAAAUGCUUUGCCUGAUCACCCUCUUAAGAAGAACGAGAUACUUGAUAUCUUCUAUAACGGACUUACCGAUGCCUCUAGAGACCACCUAGAUAGUUGUGUCGGUUGUGUUUUUAGGGAACGAACUGUAGAACAAGCUGAGACCAUACUGAAUAACAUCUUGAUCAACGAUAAUGCUUAGACUAUUCCCGAACCACCUCCUAAGCCAACUCCGAAGAAAAGAGGUAUUCUAUUCCUCAGUCCCGAAGAUAUGCAAGAAGCCAAGAAAUCUAUGCAAGAGAAAGGGAUUAGAUCUGAAGAUGUCAAAAAUCUACCACCUAUCGAAGAGAUCCAUGGUCUCGAUAACCCGAUACAGGUAUUAGAAGUAAAUUCUCUGGGUAGGUUUGACGAGAGUGAUAUUCCUUUUGAUAAACCUGCUAGGCUAUGCUUUGAUGAAUUUGACAACUUUGUUGCCAAACAACAGAGUUUCAAUGAUUAUGUUAGCAGACAUUUGGAACAAAGUACUCGUAUGCUUAGCCAUUUAAGUGCUUGUGUAGACAGAAAUGAUAAUGAUCUGAAGCUUCUGAGUAAACAUGCCUCUAUGAUCACUACUCACGUAGAACAAGUACUUAAAGCUCAGAAUGACUUGCUCAAUGAAUUAAAUGACAACUCUGUCAGAGUCAUUACUAGAGGAGGCAAAAUGACUCAGGAACCUUUGUAUCCUGAAGGUCAUCCUAAGAGAAUUGAUCAAGAUUCUCAAGGAAUUAAUGCUGAUACAUCCAGUCAUCCUAAGGAGAAGAAGAAGGAUGAUAGAAACCUACAUGCCAGUUCACCAAAUACUGUCACACCCGAAGAACCUAAUGAUAUUUCUGUGUCUGAUGCAGAAACAAAAUAUGGUGAUGAACAUGAACCUGGUGACAAUAUGGAUAGUGAUGUUCAUAAUAAUGCUCAACCUAGCGAUGAUGAGGAUGUGGAGAUUGAACCUACGGUUAAUCCUGAUAACCCACAACCUAAGAGAUACGAUAAUUAUGACUCCACUGCUAGGAAGCAUGGUAAAGAAAGGGAGCCAUGGGUUCAGAGAUCUAUGCCCUUUCCUCCUAAGCCAUCCAAGAAAAAGUAUGAUGAGGAUUUUGAGCGCUUCGUUGAGAUGAUAAGACCCAUCUUUCUGCAGAUGCGGUUAACUGAUAUGCUCAAAAUGUCUCCGUAUGCCAAGUACAUGAAAGAUAUCGUGACUAAUAAACGGAAGAUACCAGAUCUUGAGAUCUCCACCAUGCUUGCCAAUUACACUUUCAAAGGUGGAACUCCUAAGAAAGUGAUGCCGGAGGGCCUAGUAUACCUUCCUCCAUUAAAGGAAACUACGUAAGAACUGCCUUAUGUGACCUUGGAGCCGGUGUUAGUGUUAUGCCGCUCUCUCUUUAUUGUAGACUUGAACUGGAUAAGUUGACACCCACUAAAAUUUCUCUGCAAAUGGCCGACAAAUCAAGUGCUUUCCUUAUCGGCAUUUGCGAGGAUGUGCUUGUUGUGGUUGCUAACACCACUAUCUUAAUAGACUUUGUUAUCUUGGAUAUUCCCGAGGACGAUACCAUGGCCGUCAUCCUCGGAAGACCAUUUUUAAACAUUGCAGGGGCUGUUAUAGAUUGCAACAAAGGCAAUGUCACUUUCCAUGUCAACGGUAAUGAGCACACAGUGCACUUUCCGAAGAAACGAUAUCAAGUACAUUGCAUCAAUGCUAUCGAAAAGACUUCAUCGAUUCUCAUUGGGAGCUUUGAAUGCCCUAUUCCUCAUGUCAAGAUGAAGUAUGAUUUGCUUGUUGGGGAGAUACAUAUCCCAAUUGAGGUGACUUACUGGCUAUUCAAAAAUUCUUCAUUCUCUUUUGCGAUUCGAGAAAGUUUGUCAUGAGGAUUUGAUCAACCCCAUUGACGGAUUUCUUUCGAUGACCAUGAAAUGGAUGAAUCAAAGAGUCACAUACCUCUGUUUUAAGCUUGCAUUUUUCUGUGGCUUAGAAGAAAAAUGAUAGAUUAAGUUUAGUUUUUCCUGUUUUCUAUUUUAGCGUCCCGGAGAAAAAUACCCCGAAAAUAAAAGUUCUCCGAUGGUCCUGAAAAUCUAGUAUGAUUUUUUCUGGAAUAUUUGAAAAAUACUAGGCCUCAGAGCUGGCGUGCGGGCCUGACCAGUGGGCCACAAGCCCUGCAGCCCCCCUGGUGGCAGCUAGCAAGCUUGUGGGGCCCACAGGGACCCCCUCCACUCAUUCCAGCUCCCAUCCUCUUCUUCCACCUCCAUAAAAAAUUGUUUCGUAGCUCAAACCCGUGUUCUUGCUCAUUUGGUUGUGAUUUUCGAUCUCCUUGCUCAAAGCACCAUUCUCCGAACCGUUUUGGGGAAAUUACUCCUUGGUAAGUGACUCCUCCAUUGGUCCAAUUAUUUUUUGCUCUAGUGCUUUAUCCUUCGCGUAUUCUUGCUACCUUGGUGACCCUGUUCUUGAACUAGAAAUGUUGAUUUUAGCUGGUCCCGAGUAGUUUUAGCGCGUGAUACGGUCUCUAGGCACUAGUAGGAGUAGUUGCUACGAGUUGGGUUAAUAUUUAUUCACUUUUCUUUUGAAGUCUCUAAAAUUUUUAGAAUUUUUCAGAGCUAGAAAAGGGAAAAGAUGAGGAGGUUCUUGAGAGGCUCUUCAAACCAUAACCCCAAGGAGGAUGAGAAGAACCACCCCAAGUACGUGGUUCCUCGAGUCACAGAAGUUCGAGCGUGCGAGUGGCCAAGUGAUGAAUUUUUACGCGCCGCCGGGCUUUAUGAAGACUUCUAUUACUUGGUGGAGAACGCAGAUCUUACCGCGUUCGUUGAAGAUAAGUGCUCACAAUACCUCCUCCUCACCAAUAUUUUCGUUCAAAGCUUCAACUUUUAUCCGAGGAAGAAUCCUCCCAUGGUUGAGUUCAUGAUAUACGAUGUCCCCAGUGCAUGACGCUACAAGAUUUUUGCAAUGCAUGCAAAUUACCUUAUGUUGGGGAUAUCCGUGACCCUCGUCCACGGGACUUGGAGGAUUUCAUUGGUACUAUUGCUGUUGGAGAGGAGAGAGGAGUGUCUCGUGCUAGAAUUGCUAGCAUACAUUUUCCUGUGCUUCGGUACUUCUCAUUAUUUGUGGGAAAAUGUUUGAUUGGCCGUGGGGAGGCUGGAUCACUUAGUUCUCCAGACCUUGCGGUUUUGCAUGAAGGCCUUUAUAACGAUAAGACUUAUAGCCUAGGUGUUAUAGUAGCCCAGCGGUUGAACACCAACCAUUCCAAGGGUGUCGUCUAUGGAGGUAUCUAUGCUACCCGUCUUGCCAGACACUUUGAGAUACCCGUUAGACUACGAGAGGAAGGAGAUAUGCUUCUUCCUGAGAAAUAUCUGGAUUAUGACAGCAUGGUUCGCCAUGAUUUUCUGGAUAGAGAUGCUAGUAGACGGAUGAUUUAUAACCUGGUAUUUAGUCAGGGUACUCGAGAGACUAUUACUUUGCCUGCUCCUUCUUUGUUCGAUCUUCAUGCAGGCAGGUACACUAUUAUGCCCUCGGACAUCUAUGCAUAUUGGGGCUUGGCCCAACCAUAGGUGCCCGUGCCCGAGCCGCCAGUCGAGUACCAGACGCCAGUUUAUCAGUGGGAGCUAGAGGAGCUCAUACAGAAGUGGCAUCCACAGUCUGCUCCAGAGUAUCCGGAGCUGGUUCUUUCCCGCCAUGGGAGUAUACCAAGCUAGGACAAAAGCCUAAGCUUGGGGGAGUACGUUUUCUCACCGACCUUACAUUCAUGCUUAUUCUUUCACUUGGUUAGCCGGUGUUUACACUUCGCCACUAUAUUAUCCAUGCUAGUUUAUUUUUCGUUUUUGUUUUCUUGUUUUGUGUCCUUUUGAGAAAACCCAAAAAAAAUUCAUUUCUUCUUUUUGCCUGUUGGGAGCUUUCCCGUGUAAAUAGUUUUCUUUUUCUUUGGGUCAAGGUAGAAGAUAUUGGUUACAAUGUUUAGUGGUUCUUGCAUGCAUACCUGUUUAGCUUUCAAAGAGCCAUAUUACUUUGUCUUCUCCUUUGUGUUUGCCUACAGAUUCAGCUUAGUCCAAUGCAUUAGCACUCUUAUUAUUGUUCACAUCGUUCGAUCGUGCAAAUGGAAGGCAAUAAUGAUAAUAUAUGAUGAAGUGAUUGAGACUGGAAAAGCUGGUAUGAACUCUAUCUAUUCUGUUUUUGUAAAUAUGACUAGCUUGUCAUGCCUGAUUCAGCUUUGUUGUGAGAGAACCAUGUUUGCAAUGACAACUUAGAGAUCGUAGUUUCGGAUGCCAUGCUUAUUUAGCUAGGAGCUUAUAAUGGUUUGUCUUGAUUGCCAACAUAGAUUUUGAGAUGACUAUGAUGUAGUAUGAUAGGAUGGUGUUCUCCUUUGAAUGAUUCAAGUGGCUUGACUUGGUGCAUGUUCAUGCAUGUAGUUGAAACAAAAACAACAUAGCCUCUACGAUGUUCGUGUUCAUGGUGAUUUAUAUCAUGUUCAUGCUUGCACUCAAUGUUAGUCAAACUCAUUGCAUCUUGAUGACUGUUGUCGCUCUCUAGUUGGUCGCUUCCCAAUCUUUUGCUAGCCUUCACUUGUACUAAGCGGAAUACUGCUUGUGCAUCCACUUCCAUAAACCCAAAAGUUUUUCCAUGAGAGUCCACCAUACCUACCUAUUUGCGGUAUCUACCUGUCAUUCCAAGUAAAUUUGCAUGUGCCACUCUCUAAACCUUCAAGAAAUAAUCUGUUUUGCAUGCCCGAACCACUCAUGUGGUGACAGGCGGCUAUUGGUAUCUUCCAUGCUAGGAGUGUUAUCCUCGACAUGUGCUUAUUCACUGUCAUUCACGAGAAAGGGGUCGGUAAUCGGAAUGCCCAGUUCCACGCUUAAAUCGAAAACAUAACUAUAAAACAAGACUCCCCCCGGAUUGAUGUUAGUAUGGACGGUACCCGACGAUUCGGCUAGCCGUGGAGUGUGAUUGAUUGGUGGUGGGGGAGUUAAAACUUUACUUUUCUGUUUGGGAACCGCCUAUAGCAUGAGUAGCUUGGGAGAUAUUGAGAACUCUUGGUCAUUGCAUUGACAAUGAAAGCAUGCCACCCAAAAUUAUUAUCUCUGUUUUCAAAGCUUGAGCUCUGGCACCUCUGCAAAUCAAUGCUUCCCUCUGCAAAGGGCCUGUCUAUUUAUUUUCCUGUUGAGUCAUCCUCUUCUUAUAUAAGCACCAAUUAGAGAGCACCUCUGUCAUUUUUAUGCUUUGCUUUUGAUUGAUAUUGAGUAUGACUAUGACUGGAUCUUCGUUGCCAUGAAUUACAAUGUUUAGUCAGCCCUUGAUCUUUGAAAGUGCUCAGAAAAAGCUAGCGAGAUACCACCUAUUCCUAUUGCUUCAUGCUUCUUUUGAUUGAAGUGUUGGUAUUUAAAACUCAUUAUUAUUUGCUCGUUAGCUGAUUAUGCCAUUGAUAUUAGUUUACCCUGAGACCUUUGAGUCACUUGCUUAUGUGGUUAACUUGUGAUCUUGCUGAAAUUCUGGUUAUGAGUUAGACAUAGUUGCAACAACAAGAUCUAACAGAGUUUGUCAAAGUUUUCCUUUCUCUCUCUUAGUUUGUCAACUGAGUUGCUUGAGGACAAGCAAGGUUUUAAGCUUGAGGGAGUUGAUACGUCUCCAUCGUANNNNNNNNNNNNNNNNNNNNNNNNNNNNNNNNNNNNNNNNNNNNNNNNNNNNNNNNNNNNNNNNNNNNNNNNNNNNNNNNNNNNNNNNNNNNNNNNNNNNAUAUAUAUAUAUAUAUAUUCAAGACAAAUGACCCACUACGGGAGCACGGAUCGAGACAAUCUUUAUUGACACGUUCCAUUACGGAGAUCGUGUCCCUCUUUUCCAUGGAUAUGGUUUAUGACAUGGGUUAUCCCUCGCGCACAUAAUCACACGAUUUUAUCGGGAAAUGGCAAAGUUCACGAUGCAGUAGAGGGGCUCUUGGUAUCUCAACAGCUUAUAACAGGAAAAAACCACCACCACAGCCUCCUUACACAUUCCAGAUCUCACAUCGCCGUCGCCAUUCCCAACCCUCAAAGCUUCAUCCUUCAAGCUCCCCUAUUCUCCCAAACUUGAACCUUUUCCCUAGUUCGACCAUGGUUAGCUCGGGCUCAAAAGGCAAGUGGGAGGUCUCAUGUGUCAGCGAGGAGGACAUCGAGGAGUUGAAGAGCGCCGACUACUUGUCGGCGAACAUCGUCCACCGCGCUCUAGAGAAGGGUGCGAUCAUCCAUAUGCUUAGAGAAGGCGAGAGGGUAGUCUUUAUCCCUCACUUUAUUUCGGGGUCUGAGAUUUCCUCUCCAUCCCUUUGUUCGGGGCGUAAUGUUCUACCAUUGGUCAGAUUUCCAUGAUCUUCCCCCAAAUUCUUUCUUGGACAUCUCGGCCUUCAUCGUAGUCUGUCAGGCCUUUUGCGAGUCCACCCCCACUUUGGCCUAUGGCGGAAGGUCCUCACACUAGUAGGAUAAAUGCUAGCAGUAGCGCUGGUUUUUCCCUUACCAGUAGCGCUUGUGUCAGCGCUACUGCAAUCGUGCUACAACUAAUCUAUUAGCAGUAGCGCUGAAAAUAAAAGCGCUACUGGUAUACACAUUAGCAGUAGCGCUGGAAUAAAUAAAGCGCUACUGCUAAUAUUCCAGUGCUACUGCUAAUAUUAUUGCUUUUAAUAUUUAAUUUGCGUCGUAUUUAUGUCCCCCUACGUAUUUGUGCAUGCUGUAUAUAGUGGUUUCAUCAUAUCAUAAUAAACAUGCAUAAUUUUCAUCACAUCAUACACAUAAAGUAGUCUCUUCAUUUAUAGCAUCAUCAUCAUCAUCAUUAUCCAUCACAAAUAUCAUCAAAUCUCGAAAAUAGCGAUAGACACAAGUCAUGGCACACCCACAAGUUUCAUCAUCCCUAUCUAAACCAUCAUGUAGAAGAGAAGGGCGAUUAGCAUGAGCAAGAGCGCGACUAUGUAGUACUUCUUGAGGCACCGGUUUUGCUCCGUCCACUACUACAAAAAAGCCUAGCAGUAGCAUGGGUUUUAGGCGUAUUUGUAGCGCGGGCUCCCGCGCUACUAAUACGGUGCUACAACUAACCUUUAGCAGUAGCGCGGGUCCGUCCGCACUACAGCUAACAUGUAGGAGUAGCGGGUGUUGGCCCGCGCUACUGCUAUACAUGCAUAGUAGUAGCAAGCUUUACAUAAAUGCGCUGCUGAUAUACAUGCAUAAGAGUAGUGAGCUUUACAUAAACGUGCUGCUGCUAUACAUGUGUAGCAGUAGCGAGCUUUACUAAGCCACACAACUGGUAAGGGUUUCUAAUUUUGUUUUGCGUAUUUGUUUUGUAUUUGAACAUGCUUUAUAGAAUAAUCUUUAACACAUACACAUGUCAUCAUCAUUCACAUACAAAUGUAAUCAUAGCGUAAACAUACAAAUAGUCUCAUCAAAUUAUGUCAUCAUCAUAAUCAUCAUCCAACACAAAGUGGUCUCUUGUGAUCAUCUCGAAAAUAGCGAUACAAGUCUCGAAUACUUGCAACUACAUCGUCAUCCAUCUAAACAAUGAUAUAUGCGAGAAGAGUUAUCACUAUGAGUGAGAGCGAAACUAUGCUGUACAUGAGGUGGCGGUUAUUGGCCCUCUCUCGCGCUAGCGUGAGCCUCACGUAACCAGCUUCUGCUUCUUGUCUGGUUUUGAAGCCUUUAUGGCUGGCGCCCGAGACCCCCUCCACUCGCGCCUGGCACUCGGACCACUCGUCGUAUACUCCCGGAACCUUUCCUUUGUACACGACAUAUCACCGGUACUUCGCCAUAAAAAAUCUAGGUACCUGUUAGAGAUGCAUCUUCAUCAAGAGAAUGUACAAUCAUAUGCAACAAAAUAUACUUGAGCAACACAAAAAAUAAAGGGUUAGCAACUAGGUGCAACAUAUAGUAAACAUGAAUAAUCAACGCAGUCUCAUCGUACGCAAACUAAUUAACUAGAGGUACACAGGUCAUCGUACCCAAACUAACAAAGUAGCGUUACGCAAGUUUGGUAGGGACCGUGGACAUCACAAAGUUUCAUCGCUAGAAAAAGCAUAUACAAGUUCAACCGACACAUAUCAUCAUCAUCGACAUCGUAAAUCACUAGAACUUCCAUCCUUCCAGAUCAUUGAGGAUGGACCCUAGCUUCUUGAACGGCGUGAGGUCCUGAAGUGGCAUGCCUAUGUAAGUUCGGACGUCAGCUGGAUGAUCCCAUUCACUUCGAUGACUUCUUUCAUGAUGAUUGUCGCAAUGUCCCUCUGGAUGCGAAAGUUGUCAUCUUUAAGUUUAUAAUCCGCUUCUCCUUGAGAUUCUACCCACUUGAGGAUAUGAUCAUCGUUUCUGGUUCUCAUGCAAAUCUUUUGGUGAUCCCUUCUGAACCCCAUCAUGAGAUGGAGGAGGUAGAAUCCAUCGUCCGUACUUGAUUCAGGACAUGGAUGCAACAGAAGUUGGUUUUAUGCGAGAAACCCGUCUUGCGGUUCCUUUGUUUCCUGAUCUGUAUGUGGACACCCCUGAAGCUGAAGCCUUUGAGAGCAUCAUCGAGAAUAAUCAUUACGUGGGUGUAGUCCUUCUUCUCGUUGUUUCUGGUAGGGUUGAAAUACACAGCGUGGGAGACUCGCGGGUAAAGAACGAUAAGGACGGCGCGAUCGUUGCUGGGGGAAAAACACCUCAAAUUAUUCUCCAUAUGAGCGAGAAGGAAUGAUUGAAAUGUACGUAAGUGUUGUCCAACACUGACUUACUUUGGAUGAUAAGGCAGGAGGACAAUUUCCUAGUCCUUGUUCUGUACCAUGAAGUUUUCGAGGUACUCCCUAACAGUUUUAUGCUCAAAGUCGCCGAGACUCAAGAACGACUCGUGCAUGUAGUAUGGAUCCGCCACAAAGAUUUGCGAGACUUCUUCUCUCUUCAUGACGGAUCUCAUAUGUAGCGCAAAAAGGCGGACGAUUGUACAAUCGAGCCGCCUUGUCAGAAACAUCUCGAAGAUAGGAUCAAACCGCACGAGGACCACCUCCAUUGGCCGUGUGUCGAUGUAGCACUUCCCCUCAGGCACACGAGCCGCGUAUGUCGUGUAUCUUGGAUCCUUCGAGGCUAGUAGGCUUUUCUCAGUCAACAACACAUGGUCGUGCAGUCCCGUGAGAUCCACGUAUAUUGCCUCCAGCGGUUUUGGCAGUAGCAUCGGCUCGUCCGUGACAUGGAUCAUGCCCACCGUCUGGCUGCUAUGUGCUCUGGCUUGUUUGUAGGCAGCUGAGCCUAUCUUCCCCGAUCUCUUCCUCUCCCUUUUCUUGGGCUGACCUUCGAGACCCUUCCUUAACCCCUGCCCCAGUGUUGUCGGGCUAAGCACUACUGUACGACCCUCGACUAGUUGAGCCUGUGUUGAGGCGGCAUCUUCAGGCAUGUCCUGUGAGAAUUGCAUGAAGAGAGACUUCUUGCAAUCCUUGCUAGGACGUUCCUGCCCGGGCAAAUCAUCCAUAUCCUCAUUAGCAUGCUGAUAGUCCAAGUCGUCAUAUGGCUGACUCAUCAUAUCUAAGUCACCGUCACUAGCGCCUGUAUUGAGGAACUGAAGAGGGUCCUCCUCCAUCUCAUCAUCCAUUCUUUGUUCUACGGGAGCGAUUACAUCAGCCACUAUAUGACCCCCUUCAUCACGUCGUCCGCCGCUCUCACCCGACACAAGUUAUGCCAAAAUUCACGGAAAAUUUUGGCAUGAUCUUUGCUAAAAAGUGGACAAAUGGAGCGCCUGAAAUUCUUUAGAAUGGAAAUGAAUCAACAUUCCGGCAAAACAUAGGCCAGUGGGAUCAUUUACCCUGCAGAUAAUCAUCAUUUUCCAAAUAUGACAUGUCCAAAACAUCAUAUGUCCAAAUAUGACAUGUCCAAAUUCCAAAUAUGACAUGUCCAAAUCACAUGUCCACAUAUCACAUGUCCACUUCAAAUUUGCAUAUAAAAGGAAGAAAAAUAUAGAACUUGAAGAAAAAUGCAACAAGUCAUUUUUCUUCACAAUAUUUGAAACUAAAUUCAGCCUACCUAAAUUAAUCUACUAGUUUGAUAACUGGGGUUCAUAACUAAAUAGAUAACCUAAUUAACCUACUGCCCUAACUAAAACCCAAGUAAAUUAAUAGAAGAACCCUAGCUAGCAGAGAGAGGAGGAGUGGUGGGGGGCUUACACAGGGUGCAGGGGCGAGGAGGCAGGCCCAACGACGGCUGAGGUUAGGAGGGGAGGAAGCAAAGGAGGGAGGUGAUGACCCACAAGUGUAGGGGAUCUAUCGUAGUCCUUUCUACAAGUAAGAGUGUCGAACCCAACGAGGAGUAGAAGGAUCUGACAAGUGGUUUUCAGCAAGGUAUUCUCUCCAAGCACUGAAAUUGUCGGUAACACAUAGUUGUGUGAAAAGAUGAUCCGUAGCAAGUAGCAAGUAACAAUAGUAACAAUGGUGCAGCAAAGUGUCCCAAUCCCUUUUGUAGCAAGGGACAAGCCUGGACAAACUCUUAUAGGAGGUAAAGCGCUCCCGAGGCCACACGGGAAUUUCAGUCAAGCUAGUUUUCAUCAUGUUCAUAUGAUUCGCGUUCGCUACUUUGAUAGUUUGAUAUGUGGGUGGACCGGUGCUUGGGUGCUGCCCUUACUUGGACAAACGUCCCACUUAUGAUUAACCCCUCUCGCAAGCGUCCGCAACUACGAAAGAAGAAAUAAGACAAAGUCUAACCAUAGCAUUAAACUAGUGGAUCCAAAUCAGCCCCUUACGAAGCAACGCAUAAACUAGGGUUUAAGCUUCUAUCACUCUAGCAACCCAUCAUCUACUUACUACUUCCCAUUGCCUUCCUCUAGGCCCAAAUAAUGGUGAAGUGUUAUGUAGUCGACGUUCACAUAACACCACUAGAGGAAAAACAACAUACAACGCAUCAAAAUAUUGAACGAAUACCAAAUUCACAUGACUCCUUAUAGCAUGACUUAUCCCAUGUCCCCAGGAACAAAAGUGACUACUCACAAAGCAUAACAAUACUCAUGACCAGAGAGGUAUUCAAUAACAUCAAGGGUCUGAACAUAUAAUCUUCCACUGAGUAAUCCAACUAGCAUCAACUACAAAGAGUAAUUAACACUACUAGCAACCUUACAAGUACCAAUCGGAGUCGCGAGAGGAAGAUUGGUUACAAGAGAUGAACUAGGGUUUGGAGAUGAGAUGGUGCUGAUGAAGAUGUUGAUGGUGAUGAGUCCCCUCCAUGAGAGCAGUGUUGGUGAUGACAAUGGCGACGAUUUCCCCCUCUGGGAGGGAAGUUUCCCCGGCAGGACGAUCCUGCCGGAGCUCUAGAUUGGUUCUGCUCAAGUUCCGCCUCGUGGCGGUGGCGAAUCCUACCGAAAGCCUUCUCUUGAUUUUUUUCUGGAACGAAACCCUCCUUAUAGAAAAAGAGGGGGGCUAGAGGGCCAACCGGGAGCCCACAAGCGCCCUAGGCGCGUCUAGGGGGGUAGGCCACGCUUAGCAGGCUUGUGGCCUCCUACUGGCUCCCCUCUGGUACUUCUUCGGCCCAGUGUUUUUUAUAAAUUCCAAAAUAAAUCCUCGUUGAUUUUCACGGCUUUUGGAGUUGCGCAGAAUAGGUGUCUCAAACUUGCUCCUUUUUCAGGCCAGAAUUCCAGCUGCCGGCAUUCUCCCUAUUCAUGUAAACCUUGCAAAAUAAGAGAGAAAAGGCAUAAGUAUUGUACCGUGAAGUGUAAUAAUAGCCCAUAAAGCGAUAAAUAUCAACAUGAAAGCAUGAUGCAAAAUGGACGUAUCAACUCCCCCAAGCUUAGAGCUCGCUUGUCCUCAAGCGAAAGCCGAGAUCAAUAAAUAUGCCCACAUGUUUAGAAAGAGAGGUGUCGACAAAAUAGGAUAGGGACAUGCAUGCAUCAUGAUCAUAGUCAGAACAGCAAUAUCAUCAUAUAAUCCCUUAUGCUAAAGUGGUAAUUCCAUCACAAAGUAAAGUAAGGAUCAAGAAACUUAAUGAGAAUUAACAACCGAUAGCCUUUAGUCAUUGAAGUAAUUGCAAUUUAUCAUUACAUCAGAAAGAGUCAAGUAAGAGCUUGUAAAGAAAAUCCACGUACUCAAUCAUCCUUUUGUCUUCUACAAUUGCUACAACUCACGUGGUACUCAUGAGAUCAAAGUUUCAGCCGGACACAGAGAAAGAUAGGGGCUUAUAGUUUCGCCUCCCAACCAUUUACCUCAAGGGUAAUGUCAACAAUAAUAAUUCAUGAAUACUUACCUCCAAGUUGACAUAUGAAUAUAGAUCUUUCCCAAGCAUAUGACGUUCACCAAAAAAAGGCUAAAUAAGGAAUUGGUGAAGAUCACCAUGACUCUUNNNNNNNNNNNNNNNNNNNNNNNNNNNNNNNNNNNNNNNNNNNNNNNNNNNNNNNNNNNNNNNNNNNNNNNNNNNNNNNNNNNNNNNNNNNNNNNNNNNNAGUUUCAAAUUUCCACUCCAGUUUCAAUCACACAAGGAAACAAACAAACAACUAAUAAUUAUUUUAACAUUCCAAAAUUUGGGAUGUUACAAAUCUACCACACUUAAAAUGAAUCUCGUCCUCGAGAUUCGAAGAGGCUAGAAAGAAAGGUUAGGGUUUGUUGGUCUUCUAGCAAUCCAAUCUCUUGCAAAGUGGGAUGCUACCACACUUAAAAUGAGGGGUACUGGUCUCUUAAGAUUUUAACAAUCCUCUAGGGUUUUUGGCAACUGACUUCUCACAGUCUUCAUAUCUUCCGUUAUAUUCAUAACGUCUCCAUCAAAACGAGGGUUCUUCCGUUGAUUCAAGCUUCUUCCAUUACUGGGUCUUCGUAACUGACAGUCUCGUGAUCAAUUCUAAAUAACCUAUCGAUGAUUCUCAUGGUGCUCUACCAUUUGUGGCUAUCCUGCAGAGAGAGGGGUCUUGGUUUCAUUCUCACCGUAAAAUUUCCUACGUGUGACAACAUGUGCCAUGUACAUGGGGCUUUCCUAGUACCAUUCUAAGGCUUAAACAAAAGCUUCAAAGAAUGUCGUCUCUCUAUAUGGGUAAGUCUCUCAGAUUUACCAUUCCAAAUAGCAAGAUCAAUGAUAAGAGUAAGUCGUCAUGGUGAUCAAUCCAUUCCGCACCCAAAUCAUUUCUCUGUAUAAGGUUUAGCGAAUCUCGCAUUCUAACACUUGGGCAUCCUCACAAGCGUUGCAGAAUUUCUCUUGUCCACGAACGAAGUUCGGAUAAUCCAUUGGUUCUGCAAGCUCAACAAAACAUCUAUCGUAUCUUCACAACUCUCGGGUUUUCGUAUGCUCCUAAGAAAACGUGUGCUGAUCCAUCAUAGCUUCUUCCAUAAAUCAUAUUCAUUUCAUAAUCAAUCCUUUAUUACAUCCUUGCUUUCUUCAAAGUCCAACUCAAAAGUAAUUUAUUACAAAUGCUGCCAUCCACAUUGUUCGGUAUGGUCAAGCAUUUCUGCCAAAUUUAUUCAUCUGUCUCUCUUGGAGGUACUUUAGUUCCACUGGAAUUUUCCUAGGUGCUCCUUGAAAUCAUGGUACAUUCCUACUAAGUGGAUCCUGUGGGGUUUACCGAUUACUACCACACUUAAAUGAAUUAUACUCAUGCCAGCAUAAACCAUAUUUUCUCAUCUCCUCAUAAUGUUUGGAGAUCUUUGCUCGUAGAGAAACAACGCAUAUAUUUUCAACAUAGGCAAUCAUGAGACAAUAAAUUCCAUUUAUUCAUGAUGUUAUUACAAUCUCAGGGACUUCUGUUACAAAAAUUUCACUCCAUGAUCUCAUAAAAAAAUAGAGUUCUUCAGAUUACACUAAUUGCCAUGGUCAAAGCUUAACUACUCCUUUUUAGCUUUCUUCCUUUGUGGACAAUCGCUAGCAAAAUGUCCUGCUUCCUUGCAACGAAAGCAAAUGAGUUCUGACAAGUCUCGAGGCGUCUUAGUGUUUGCUUUUGCUCCUUGAAUUUCCGGCUUCCUUCCUGAGCACAUGUAUUUGUGGUGGCCAAAUUCCAUACACUUGUAACAUCUGACAUGACUCAGGUCUUUUUCUGCAGAGAUUUGGCUCUUCCUNNNNNNNNNNNNNNNNNNNNNNNNNNNNNNNNNNNNNNNNNNNNNNNNNNNNNNNNNNNNNNNNNNNNNNNNNNNNNNNNNNNNNNNNNNNNNNNNNNNNNNNNNNNNNNNNNNNNNNNNNNNNNNNNNNNNNNNNNUCUUCCGAGGGUACUUUUUCUUCUUUCCGGACUCCUUUAUUUUGGCCAGUUCUUCUAUUUCAAGUGGAUCAAACUCCACUUCUUCCGUCGGGAAGUUUCCCAGAUACUCUUGGCUUCCCUUCGUGCAAUCCUGUGAAUAAUGUCCUUCUUCUCCACAUGAGUAGCAUGCAUUGGAGAAAAAUCUGGUCAGACCUUGUCCAUCAGGGUCUUCAAUAUUUUCGUUCAUCACUGGUUCUUCUAGAAUCUUCUUCUUGAGUGUUUCCUUCAUUGCUUCUUUCUGCUGCUGGACAACUUGUUGUACCUUGGGGUAAAUGUGACAUUGAGCUAGGUAGUGGGUGGUUCCUUCACAAAGGAAACAAGUCACCUGACUACUUGGGCACUCCUCAGUUGGGUGAUUUUCUUCACAAUGAGUGCAUCCAUCCUUGUGUUCUUCCUGGGUGUGUCCUAUUUCUCCACAGAUCUUGCAUGCACAAGUCUUCUUCUUCGGAUUAUCAUAGCACUCCUGAAUAAGUCGGGAUCUUAACAGAGUGUUCUUGAAUUCGCCCCAACUUUCUGCUCCACUAAAUCCUUGUAUGGCAUGAUGCAUUUUCCACCAGAUUGGAGCACUUUGUGUAAAGUACUGAAGAGUGUGUUCCACUUCAUACUUCCUUGAGAUCAAGUUGCUCCUGAAGUGGUUCUCCAUGUUCUGAAUCCAUAUCUCAGUUUCCAGCUGGGUCAUUGGUCCAGAGACUACAAGUCCAGCUUCAUACUCCAUCUGAUAGGGUUGAGGUUUUGGGGAUGAGACGGGUAAGAGAGGGAGGGAGAUACACACAAUACCAACAAUUUUUUUUGAGAUAGGUUUUAUUUGUGGUCGUCGGAAAACACACACCAAUGACGGCUCACAAAUCAUCGUAACUAACGUGGGUAUAUAACAGGGGUUUGGACUUCUAAUGGUCAUAUAAAUAUUCGAACACUUCAGGGUCUUGAGAGUCUUGUGUUGGUGUAGCUUCAAUUCUUCAAACGCGUGGUGAAAUCCUCUUUACUUUGAAGUAGAACUCCGUUGAUUCUUCAUGAGGUCGAAGGGGUAAGGGGAUUGUCUAACUAUUUGAGGUGAGAGGGAACAUUUGAUGAAAUCAGAAGAGACGAGAAGUAAAAGGUGUUGUUGAAAAUAAAUUUUUUGAGAGAUCCUUUCCUAAGAAAUUUCCAGUUUCUAGGGUCACGUCCUACAGUCAACAUGUGCUCUGAUACCAUUUUUGUAGCGACCCGACUCAAAACGAGUCAAGCCUGUGUGUUUCUGUGCCAUCCCUGGAUCAGUAUGCUGGCACACACAGUACAUCAACGUAUAUAUCAAAGUGCAAUCACAUGUAAAUAGCGUAAAACUGAUAUAUACCUUAAAUAUUUCAGCGGAAGCAGUCAAGGGAGUGGAGUCCCAAUAAACACCAACGGCAAGUUGAGUGUAGACCGUAACCCUGAAUCGUACUCUUACUCGUCGAAGAAAAUAUCUGCAACAUAAGACGUUGUAGCCGUGUAGGUCAGCAUAUUAAAUAUGCCGGCAAGUCACAUAAGAGAGGGGAGAAAAGCAAUCAUUUAUACUAUAUGCAUAUAUGGCAGGUGGGGCUAUAAGUUUUUAGCGAAAAGCAAGUUUUUCUCCUACAACAAGAGUGGGCUAAAAGCAAAAUGUUACUACUUUGUUGGUUGUUAACGAGAUGGUUCCGCCAACCAGUUCUCGUACCCGAGUUGUCAAUAAUUACCCUCAUCAAAUAUAUUUAAUGGUGCCGAGAAAUCCAGAUAACUUCAGUUCCUUUGGCUCAAGUUGUCCAUGACCGUUGACACGGCUAAUCGAUUAGGUUUGAGUACUCUGCAGAGUUUUGCACACGUUCCCCACAAGAUUUGAUCGCCUCCGUGUAUGUCCUCGCACUUCAGGGUGUUUGAAGACCGGAUGAUCAAAAAAUGUUCUUUCAACGGGUCCCUCUGAAUCCCUGUCGGUGCCCAUCCAUUCCUACCGUUCUUCUACAUCUGCUAGCACCGCCUGUCCAGAGUCGCCGCGUUGUCCAACCAAGCCAGAGCCCAUAAUGACUUGUGGCUGUGCAGGUAAGCCUUGGGUCUUGAAAAUAUCCGUCCGUCCCUUUGAGCCUGGGUGAAGCUUUCCGCAGGAUGUCAUGGCCUCUCCAGCAUCCCGGGUCAUCCACUGGGUUCUCCAGGGAGCCGAUCAACCGUCCUUCACCCAGAGUUGCAUUGCGUCCGAGGUCUUGAAAAUCUUGUCUUAACCGGUCUUGAUUAUUUAAUCAACCUCGCAUCACUCGUGUUAUGCACUCAACCAAAUCCCGUCUACUCAAGCAUAGCAAUAUGAAAUUUGUCGUCCCAGGCCUAGUAACGGGGUUGUUGGGUGCCUACCACGUGAUACUACAAUAUGUAACCAUAAUUUCCAAGUACCUAGUCAGCAUGCAAUUGGGCAUAGGAUGGUAGAACUACGAUGCAUAAAACAUAGGUGAUACAUGAUCAAAUGACUUGCCUGGUGAUGUUGACGAAGAAGAAUUUCUCGAGAAAAUAACUUGAUAGACUACUCGUCACUCUCCGAUGAAAUCUAUAUAACAAACAUAUCAUUCACAUAAGCACUCAUACUAGCAAUCAUUCUAGCAAUCAAAACAACAGAGAGAGCGAAUAGGAAUGCGAAGGAAACUUCAAAUAAGACUAGGGAGUCUUCUACUACAUCAAACACUAAAUAGUUUUUGUCUAACAGAAAAUAAAAUACUAAAAUAGAAAAAAUAACAGAAAACAAAAUAUAAAAUAACUAAGAUAACAGAAGUAAAACUUACAAAACAAUAUUUUUUUAUAAGUAUUUUCAAAAUAGGAAAUCAAACUAGCAAUGCAAUCAAUUCGCAAGUUAGUAUAGAACUAGAUUUGAUUCCAUGCAAACAAAUAAGAAUAAAUAAAAUAAAAUUUUGUUGUUGUUGAAAAGUUACUGGUAAAUAUCAGAAAACAAAAUAUAACUUGUCACAAUUACAAAAAAACACAAAUUAUGAACAAUUAAUACAAAAGAAAUAGCAAGAAAACAAAAAAGGCUAAAACAGAAUCUGUUUUGCUUAAAACCCUAAGUAAAAUUAUUUACAAAAAAUUGAAACUUAAACUACUGAAAGAUAUGAUCAAUAGGAAACAUCAGAGAAAAUAAUCAAAUUAAAAGCUAUUUUUAAACUCCAGGAAUAAGCAAAACAAUCCUUAAUUCAAAUCUGAUCUAACUCAAUAUUUAUAAACCCAAACAUAGACCAUUUAUAUAUCUACAGAAACUGCAUAAAAUUUGUGAUCCAACGCAAAAAGAAUCAUCUAAUUUGGAGUUAGACACUAAUAGAUAUGAAUUUUCUAAGAUUGCAAUUUUCUGAAAAAACUGUAAUACGGGAUUUCGUGGAUCUCACCGGAGUUAGUCACCGGAGUUGGAGAAGACGGCGGGAAGGUUGCUCCGGUGGCCGGCCGAGGCGGUGGAGGGGUCCAGGUGAUGGAGGAGGGCUCGGGCGGAAGGUUGGUGGCGUCGGUGGGGCGUGGGGGCGACGGGAGGGAGCAGCACGAGCUCCGACGAGUUCCUGUUGGAGGCGAACUCCGGCGAGGUGGGGGCUGCGUUCCGACGAGGUGAGGGGCUGGGCUAUGGGGAAAAUGGGGAGAGGAGGUUGAGGGGAGUAUUUAUAGGGGCUCGGGGUGCUCGGAGAAGGAAGGACCAAGGAGAUCGGGAAGGUGGAGAUUUCUCUCACCAUGGCUAUGGAAGUUUCCUGUGCACGUGAGGAAGGAGAUAGAGGAANNNNNNNNNNNNNNNNNNNNNNNNNNNNNNNNNNNNNNNNNNNNNNNNNNNNNNNNNNNNNNNNNNNNNNNNNNNNNNNNNNNNNNNNNNNNNNNNNNNNUACGAUGGAGACGUAUCACAAGCACACACAUACAUAUACACCGGCGACGGCAAACAUGGACACACUAAUGCAAAGGAACGAUAUCGCCAAAGCGCGUGCACAUGCAACAGCGGCAGCUAGCACGUCAAAUGACCUACGCACAUUAUCAAGAAAGCAUCCCGGUAAAACUACAGUUUUGAUAUUUCAACAUGAGCUCAAGUUAAACAGUGUGGACGUGAUGAGUUGGGAGGUGAUGGUUGGAUUGCGUUGCCUCGUGGUCAUUGAAGGAUUGUAUUAUGAUUGGAAAUAAGAGGAGCUAUGGGUGGGAGGAGGGGAGAAGGGACCAUGAUCUCGGGGAAAAACAAGAAUUGAGGAAGGAUAUCUGCAGCGUGGUUGUUGCAAGGAUUGCGUGAUGAUUUUACAGGGCUAGACUCGGCCACGUCAUGCAUGGAGGACGGAGCGAAAGAGGGGAGACGAAUGAUGACCAACAUACAAUCACCGCCACAGACUUACCUUUAACUUUAAAGAUAUCAUGUCAUUGUUGUUGGGAUCUAUUGAAUUCUUGUGGUUGUUAAUUGGUAGGAAGCUCUUCUUACUUCGACAGAAUAAGGAACCCCUUCUUUCAGAUUCAGUUAAUCAUCAUGUUUGUCAUUCAUUAUGUAGAUGCUCACUGUUUGCGUGUGCGCAGGUUUCCAAAAAAAGAAAUAUUUAAUGUCAUUCACUGGUUUUCAAUGUGUCAGUCUCUACAUUCAUAGUACAUCACUCAGUUUUACCUUCAACUAAGACUAUUUCCGUUGCGGUGAUUAUUUAUUUAUUCCUUUAUUUCUUAGAUUAGCUCUAAUCAUUUUUCAGCCUCUUUUUCUCCUCUUAUUCAACUAUGUAUGUACUCCUAUCUCCCCAAUGUUGUACAUAUUGUUGUGUGUAAUUUAAUGUGAGGCGCUACACUCAUCUGUUCAGGCACUGUCGAGAUGGAGGCCAACAUCAUGGAUGGCUGGAGCUGCGAUUAGAUUUGUCCAAGAUACGACAGUGUUCGUAGUCAUGAUUCUCGUAACUGUCUAUGAUCUCCAUAUCUUAACUGUUUGUGAAGACGGAAAUGUGAUUAAUGUUCUUCUUAGAUGCUCUUGCCCUUUGAUUCGUAAAUUGCUAAACUGGCCCCUGAGCUCUCGCCACUUUGAUUCAUAAAUUGUUGAAUUACCCACAUGAACUCGUGCUGUCACGGUUCAUAAAUUGCUGAAUUUCCCAUUAUGUCACCUGCACUCUUCCAUAUGAGUAGUGUGUAUUGUGCUUUUAACCCGUCAACUAACUAGGUACUAUGCUAUUAGUGGCUUGGUUUUAGGCCACAACCACAUCAAUUUUUUUUUCUUUGAGUUUGUUUAUGUUCUUUGUGAUCUGAAGUAGUAUAUUGAGUUGUAAGGGAAUACUUUCAGGUCACAACUUUUCUUUUCUAUAGUCGUAAUCUAGCUGGGCGACCAAUAUUUCUGAAGUAAUGACCCUUUGUAAGAAGUAACGUUUCUUAUUUGCUGGGCAACCUAUCAUUAUUUGCAUCAUGUCAAUCAAUUGUGUAUUAACAGAUCAUUUUGUUAUUUUCUUUGUAGAUACAAAAGAUAUAUGGACGAUUAUAUGGGUGGGUGGCAAUUAUACUUCAAUGAUGAUGAUGAUGUUCCGGUUAAUGAUGAUGAUGACGAUGAUGAUGAUGAUGAUGAUGAUGAUGAUGAUGGCUGUUUUUAGUUUUAGUUAAGUUGUAGGAAUGUUGUUCCUGUUGGAUGAUAUUCCUUGGUUAAGUUUAGUAAAGUGGUAGGGAUGUUCCUGUGUUUAGUUUUAGUUAAGUUGUAGGGAUGUUGAUGGAUGUUUUAGUUUGAGUUUUACUAUCAAGAAAAUAUUUAGGUUAUGCAUCACAUUUGGAUGAUAUUCCUCUUGUAAUAUCAACUAUUGUAGUCCAACAGUUCUUUUCAAUAUAUGAUUUGUUUCUCUCGUGAGUAUUUUUUUUCCUGAUAUACAUACUUGGCACCAUUGUGUGCAGUAUUAAUUUAAUUGAUGGCAAUAUAUAAAAUAUUAUUCACGUUUUAUAUGUAAAACACUUGAAGCGUUCCAAUUCUUUGUUCCAAGAAAUAAGAUUUGGAUUCAUGUACAUUAACCACCAACAUAUAUGUGUGUUGUAAGAGUCGGAUCUAUGUGUUGUACUCUUGCAACGGUCCCUUUUACCAACAGAAGUAUAACCGUUGCAUUAUUUGCUAGAAACACUGUAUAAGGAAACGCAUCCCAAAACGUUUGUAAAGAACAUAGCAACGCAUAUCUGGACUUUUAGAUACAGAAAAAUGCGUUGCUAUAGGUGGGGUUCUGUUGUAGUGGCUAGAGCGAUGUACGGUAGUUCAUAUAAAGACUAGUAGUAUUAAUUAUAAUUGAACACACACAUUUUCAUCGUCAAUCACCAUUCCUCAUCGAAGUUCCAAUCUUCAUAUUCAGGCAUGAAGCACCCGAGCUUCUUGAAAGGAUUCAAGUCCAGACCCUGAGCGACUAGCAUAUCUUAGACAGUCUCCUGCCUCAUUCGCCCAUGGUAGAACAUCCCUCCUUGUUCGACGUCCUACUUAAUGAUCACCUGGGCAAGUUCACACUGGACGUGAUAAAACUCAUCCCGAAUUCGAUGAUCCGGUGUGCUUCCUAUGCUUGUGGCCCAGCUGAGAAUCUCGGCAUCACCGAAAUUAGAUGACAUGUGAAGGCAUUAUCUAUCCCUUCUGAACUCGAUCAUGUGAUGCAUGAGGUAGAAUCCAUCAGCCCUACUACCGUUUGGUUGUUGGAUGCACCCUAAGUUGGUCUUAUGGCCGAAAGCCGACGCUUUGUUCUGUAACACCAUGUGUUUAGCUUUCCUGACUAAUUAACUUAUUUCAAAAAUUAGGACCAAUUAAUUUUUUUUGUGAAUUCUUGUGAUGCUUGAAGUGACUAUUGUUUGCUUGCUUGUUGGUAUGCUUGUGUUGAUUCUCAAUAAUUCUUGUUAAUCUCUAACUCACCUCCUUAGCCCAUGUUCUCCUGCCUAAUGAUCAUGCCAUGUGUUUAGGUACAAAAAACUAUUUCUACCAAAUUUGAUUUUCACCAAAAUGCAUUUCUUUGAAUUAAGUCUUCAAAACCCUAGGAUGAGGUUUGUGCUACAAGUCCUCAAGUUAGGGAAUUUAUUUUGCUCCAAUUAUUUUAUUUAAAACCUAUUAUUAAAAGGUCUUCCAAAAACCACAAAAUUAUUAUUUUAAAAGUUAUUUUAUUAUUUUGUUUAAAUGCCUUUUUAUUAAGCCAUAAGUGGUCUCUUAUGAAGGAAAGUUAUUUUUAUUGCUUCCAAAAUAUUUGAGAAAAUUUAGGGAAACUCAUUGGACAUAUAUAUUCCAUAUAUAUGAGUUUCAACACAUGGUCAUGUUCAAAAUAUUGGGCAAACCCAUUCAAAGCUCCUCGUGCCUAUUUCAAGCUUUUGAAAUAUUUCUAUAAGAAAUAUUCUCAAUAAAUUCCAGUAAUAUUUCAACAUAUUACCUAUGAUAUUUUUGAUGAUCUUGCCAAGUUUCAUCUUAAUCCAAGUUGAUUUGACUCCCCUAAUUAUUCUAAAACCCUAUCUGUCUAGAUUCAAAUUUGAGCAACUCUAUAUUGUGAAGUGUCUCCAAUUGUGCUCAAAUUUGGUGGAAAUGUUCUAAUACUCCAAUAAUCCAUCCAUGCCAAGUGGUGCAUCAAGGAGAACAGAACAACCUGUCCCAAGCCCCUCAAAACCCUCUCUAUUGAUUUCUAACUUUGGGAAACUUUACAUUAUAAAGUUUCUCCAAUUGACCCCAAACUUUUUGUGCAUGCCUUGGUGCUCAAAUAAUGCCUCCACACCAAAUAUUGGAUUUGUGGGAAUUGAUUUGAAUGGAAUUGUAAGCACAAAUCUAUUUCUGCCCAUUUCAAGGGUUUUCCAUGUCUACAUUGGAAACCUUCUCCACCAAAUCCCAAUUUUGGUGUCCAAGCUUAUUUUGAUAUAUUAUUUGAUCCUGUUAAGUUUCAUAUCCAUUUAAGUCCAUCUGAUUGCUCUUCCACUUAUCAAACACCUUGUGUGCAUUCACUUUAUUGCCUACUUUGGCCCCUUCCANNNNNNNNNNNNNNNNNNNNNNNNNNNNNNNNNNNNNNNNNNNNNNNNNNNNNNNNNNNNNNNNNNNNNNNNNNNNNNNNNNNNNNNNNNNNNNNNNNNNCUACUAGCUAUGGACCCGGAGGUCUAUGGUGAACUACUCACGCAUCAUCAGAGAGGCAAUGGUGUUGAUGAAGAAGCCCUCCGUAUCCGAAUCUCCCCUCCGGCAGGGCACCAGAACAUGCCCCAGAUGGGAUCUUGCGGAGACAGAAGCUUGCGGCGGCGGAAAAGUAUUUUCGUGGAUCUCUCCCGUGGUUUUGGAUUUUUCGAAGAUUUAUAGGCGGAAGAAGUAGGGCAGACGAGCCACAAGGGGCCCACAAGCCUGCUAGGCGCUGGGCCCCCCUAGCCGCGCCUAGGGGGCUUGUGGCCUCCCCUAGUGGCCUCUGCCUUGGUUCUCACGCCCGCUGCGUAUCUUGUGUUCCGGAAAAAUCUUUUCGGAAGUUUUAUUCUGUUUGGACUCCGUUUAAUAUUCUCCUCUAAAAAGGGUCAAAAACACGAAAAAAAACACGAACUGGCACUUGGCACUGAGUUAAUAAGUUAGUCCCAUAAAAGAUAUAAAAGGCAUACAAAACAUCCAAAGUUUGACAAGAUAAUAGCAUGGAACCAUCAAAAAUUAUAGAUACGUUGGAGAUGUAUCAAGCCUCAAGGAGAGGGGAAGCGCCCAUGGCUUGGAUCUUAGGAGAUGGCCGGUGGAGGCACUCGGCCAUUGGAGGAGGGAGGAGCUUGGGGCUGCUCUGGGAGAUGAUCAGCAAAUGCUCUAGGGAAGAGAGAGGCGAGGGAGGUUCGGGGGAGAGAAGAUAUGCGAGAGGGGAGGGAUAGAGAGCUCAGGAGCUCUCUGGAGCUCCCUGUGCAUGGAUGCCACGCACCCCACACGGAGCUUGGAGGCUAGCUGAUGGAUGGAAACCCGUUGAACGGUCAAAAGAUGUUGCUCGGACAUGCUGAGACAACCUGAUUCGGCUGGAAAUGGACUGGAGGGAAGAAACAAGAUGCAGAGCACCAUUUAUGCACUCCAGGGAGGUGGUCACCACCCCACUUAGUGUCCUGGGCCACCAUUUGGCCGGGACAAGGUGUCAAACAUGCAGGCCACAAGGCACUGGUGGAGUUUGGCCCCAAGUGGAGCUGGUUUGAAUAGGUUUUGACUGGUGUUAAGUUUGCAGCAGCAAACUUAGUGCUACUAAUGAGGGCACUCACACGAGAUAUAAUGAGGAAAAUACAUGUCUAGCAGCCUUAGGCAUGGAAGGACUACAUUUCUGCAAAGUUUCAGCUCAAGCAAGGAAGUGUAGCUAACAAUGCCUUGGGGUGCUAGGAACCCUCUAGCAAGAGGUGGGGGCUUUGGCUUAAGAAGAAGUGGUGCAAGAAGGGUGAAGAUGGUGAUUCCAAGGGUAAAAUGAGGAGUAGUUACAUGGAGCCUCUCUCCAAUAAUUGACCAGCGGCCAUGGAAAUGUUACUGGAGGUAAAAUGUAACUAUAUGAAGCGGUGGUAGAAAGUUGAGCUCAAGGGUUAAAGUGGAAGGGGCCAAAGUAGNNNNNNNNNNNNNNNNNNNNNNNNNNNNNNNNNNNNNNNNNNNNNNNNNNNNNNNNNNNNNNNNNNNNNNNNNNNNNNNNNNNNNNNNNNNNNNNNNNNNUGCCAUGCACAUAUUUGGAUAGGUUUUGAAUUUAGGAACCUGUAGAAAUUUGAAUCAUUAGAAUCGGAGCUAAAAUGAAUUUAUAAUGGAUUUUUGAAGUUAACCCAAAAUAGUAAAAAGAGAAAAGGGCUCAGCCUCGGGAUUUAUUUUGCGCCCAGGGCGUUAGAUAGGCCCAGAGGCUCAGUCCGAAGGCGUACUUUUCCUUUACGCCUCUCGCGCGGGCAAGCACCGAGAUGGGAUCCCGCCUUCACUUACGGGGCUGGGCCCGACCUCGCUGCCACUAACGGGCGGGGCCUACCCGCCAGGUUCUUCCUCUACCUCGCGCGAGCAGAGGAGGACCAGGGGAGGUGAGCCAGCCGCGCCGGCGCUUGCCCCCGGCGGCUCAGGACGUUGCUGGCGCCUCUCCGGCCACCAGUGCACCUUGGGGAAGAGCAUCGCGCCGGCCUGGGAUCCCGUUCCGACCGGAAGCACGAGCGCGAGAAGGGCCAUGGCCGCGGCGGCUUGCCGACGGUGGCCCUGGCUGUAGCUCUUAGCCGAGGGAAGGAAGGGGAGGGAGGAAGAAUCAGGGGAGGCCCGGGGUCCUUGGGUGGCUAAGGAAAGCCUUGCUACCUCCUGAGCUUCGUUGAUUUUUCCCUUGAAGAGGAAAGGGUGAUGCAGCACAGUAGCAGUAAGUAUUUCCCUCAGUUUGAGAACCAAGGUAUCAAUCCAAUAGGAGAAUCAAGCCAAGUGUUCAGAGUACCUGCACAAACACAAGCGAGCUUGCACCCAACGCUAUAAAGGGGUUGCCAAUCCCUUCAAGAUUGAUUGCAAAGUGAGAUCUGAAGGUGGAAAGUGCAACGAAGUAAAAGUGUAAGGCUGAAAAUAUGUUGUGAAGUAGACCCGGGGNNNNNNNNNNNNNNNNNNNNNNNNNNNNNNNNNNNNNNNNNNNNNNNNNNNNNNNNNNNNNNNNNNNNNNNNNNNNNNNNNNNNNNNNNNNNNNNNNNNNGAGUGGAAAUUUGAAACUUUUCAAAACUUUUGAAUGAGAGGGAAUAAAAUGACUUUCCCCUUCUCCGGUGAAUUCAAAUUCAAUCAUUUAAAAGCAAAGAGAGAAGAUGACAUGACUUCUUCAACUAUAAAGAAUUUGAACGGAGAUAUUUGCAUUUGAAUUCUCUUGCAUUUCUAUUUGUUUUCUUCGUGCAAGAAAUGCCGGGAAAUACAUUCUGUCAAACAGAAAAGAGAGGAGGAACAUGACCCUCAAACACACGGGCAUUUUGAAAGUUAUUUGAACCCUAAAACUUAGAGGGUCAUUUGAAAAUUAUUUGCAAAAGAAAAUAAAUCUUUUAGGCAAUUUUGUGAAAAUAAUUUUUUCUGAAGUUUUUAUUUCUACCGUGGAAAAAUGCCCAUCAUUUAGAUUUUAUUUUUCUGAUAAUUUUAGUAUAUAGAAACUCUAUAUUCCGAAUUGAUUUGAUUUCCCUUUUAUCAUUUUAGUUUCCUAGUUUUGAAAAAGGAAAGAAAUCGUGUUUAAAUGGAAAUAAACGGUGGCCCAUUAAGACCUUUCCAAAAACUGGCCCAACAGGAUCUUCUUCUUCCUCUAUCUCCUUCCUNNNNNNNNNNNNNNNNNNNNNNNNNNNNNNNNNNNNNNNNNNNNNNNNNNNNNNNNNNNNNNNNNNNNNNNNNNNNNNNNNNNNNNNNNNNNNNNNNNNNCCGUGUGGCACCGCGCCCGGAUAGUUGCCCGUUCCGAGGUUCGCGCCCCGGGCCCCCCCCCCCCCCCCGGAUGCCACAGCCGACGGACUGGUUGGCACUUUUGGUCAACGACUUUUUUAACCCAGAAAAUGGUUCGACAUGGGCGGGUAUUAUCUUCUGGAACAACAUAGAGAGUUGGUAUGUGCUGCUUGACAAGUGAUCUUCUUCAGCAACAACUAGAUCGGGAUCGCGCCUUGGCGCGAGGGUGCCGGUCCCAACAUUUUGGUCAAGUACGUAAUUCUAAGUUAGUAAGAAUCCAGAUUUAGCAUCGAGUUCAUUGCGCUCAUAAGACCACGAAAGAUAGCCACUCGACAUAAAGUUCGAUAUCAAAAGUGUAGCUAUUCGACAUGAAGUUUGAUGCCAAAAGUGUGAAUAUAAGAGAGGGGGUAAUAAGAGUGAGAACAUAGUAAAUGAGAGACAACUACACAACCAUAGCUACUAAGCAUACUAAUGAGUGGCUUCAUUCAACUAACUUGUCGAUCAACUUCAUAAGCGUCACUUCACACUAGUAAGUGGCUUGCCGGUGUCGGGUCCUAAGAAUUAUGCCUAAACAUGUAUGCCAAGUAGGCAAGCUUAAAAUGUUUGGUUGCCCCUAAUAAAUCAGAAUGAUUUAACAUGAUUAAGUGCAGCAGGGCACAAAGUUCAAUACAGGAUAAAGAAUUUAGCCUAAUUAAGAGCAACGUGGCAUAUAGUUUAGUGCUAAUGAGUUUCAGAAGCAGACAUGCAGACAUUGUAAGAUCUAUUCGAGGUAAGAAGUGUGGCUUGCAACACCCUUGUCGGGUGCAAUGAUAUCCAACCCGGUGACAAAGCAAUCGGUUCAAUGCAAGAAAAAUACAGUAAAAGCAUUGUAUUGCCUUUAUAAAUAACAUAAUUAUGUCCAGUACAAAGGAUUUAGUUGAAUCAACACCAAAGGGCAAGGCAACCACUCAUACCAAAAGCAUGGUAGCAUUUUGAUUCAAAAGUAAACCAUGAUGAUAGAUCGUCACUAAGCAAAUAUGAUAGUUGAGUCGUUAUAUAUUGUCCAACACUUUGCUCGCGAUACCGCAAUAUUGUCAAUUUAAUUAAGCAGGUUAAGAACUUUUUAAUGGUUACUACUCUCUCUAUACCUAAAUAAUUAUAGUUGAAAAGAAUUAGAUUAGUUUCUUUAACUAUAAUUAUUUAGAUACACAGAAAAUAGUUAUUAAAUAAUUUAAACUAUGAAGCUAGCAAGAAAUUAAAAUAGGAUAGCAUAUUGUCUGGCUCAUUAUGCUGGCACGGACCGCAUCAUCACUUGUUGGUUGCAACGAGGGCUGGUCUUCAUCUCCGAUCUUGUAUUGGCCGAUUGUAACCCUGUUGGAGUUGAAUAAAACUCCUUGAAACUCGCAAAAAGGAAAAACAAACCGCAGGUGGGCCGUGGGUUGAAGCAGCUAAGCCCCCAAACGACUUCAUUUAGCCUCGCCCAACCUUUUGCAGGCCGGCCGCGGGCCGAAGCCUUCUCGAUCAACCGAGGAGGUCCACUAUCUCGCUCUUCGUCGCAAUCCUCACAUUCUUACCGAGAAUCCCCAAACCCCAACCCCGACUGACGACGAGUGGAUCUGUUCCGGCGCCUCCUCCCGCCGUCGACCAUGGCGUCUUCCAACUCCGGCGGCAUCCCCAUCAAGGUCAGUGACUCCCCCUUCCUCCCCUCUCACCCACGACCCUCGAGGCCACGAGCGCGGUUUGAGGAUUUAGCGGCGAGCCGGGUCGGGUUCCUGUGGAUCGCCCGAAGAAGAGGCUGGUGUUUGUCUAUCUCCACCGGUUCUUCAGGGAAUUUCCUUGCUUCGAACUGUAUGAUUGCUCUAGCGCUUGCAAUUUUGCCGGCCUUCUGGAGCUUCCGCUUCCUAGCCGCUUUGUAGAGGUUAUUAUGGGGUAGCCUCCGUUUUGGGGGAAAUAGGUUUACUUUGAGUGAACAAUGGGAAACGGCCCGCCGCAGUCAUCUCGUCUAACAAGGUUCAAAUUUGUGCGGCGUCAUGCAGGACAGUUAUAAUCACUUGUGAUUGGACGCCUCUGAAUUUGUGAUGCCUGUGGUCUUUGGCAGUAUUCCUCUGGUCCAUUUCAUGGCCGUAUAAGGUUAAGCAGGUUUAUAGCGAGUUUGUUCAUUCAAUAUGUGCUUUGUCAAUUGCAGGCCGAACAGGAUUCGGACGGCUCCGCCCAGAGCACCGCUGAUAUGACUGCUUUUGUAUGUAUUUUCUUUUCUUACUUUUGAGUUCACAUAGAUUGUAAAUUUGAGUCGUGUUUCUUGCUCAUCUUUGGCUCUUGCCCACUGCUUGCAGGUGCAAAAUCUUCUAGUUCAGAUGGUAAGCUCUUACUUUUGUUUACAGUGCACUUUGUGUGUAAGUCCACCUACUUUUCUCUUACUGAAUCUGAUUUCCUUUGCAGCAAACCAGGUUCCAGACCAUGUCAGAGAACAUCAUUACAAAGAAUAUCCUUAUAAAUCAGUUCAUUUCUGCAUUUUAUUUUAUUUUUAUUUCAUUCAGUUUCCGGUCACAGUUUUUUUUGUAGAUAAUGAAUUUUCAAUCACAGGUGAACAGUUGACAAAUAUACUCAUGUUCUACUAGAUCGUCCAUUUGUAAAGGGAAGUUAUAGUGCAAAUGCAUGACCCGGAUUCCCGUAGUAGCUGAGAAUCUUUAAAAUUUGUGAAUUUCAUUAGGGGGGUAGUCCAUGUGCAAGUUUUCAAACCCUUGCAGACUGCAAUCUUCUUUCUUUGGUGUUCCUUAACUUCUUAAAAGUAUUGAACAAGCGCUCGUAUCGUUUGCUUAGAGUGACACUAGGGAAUAAUGGUACUAGUUUUGAAUAAUGUCAUCUUUGGUAUAGCAUUCACACCAUUUACAUCCCUUUGAAAUGUUCACUUUUCGAGCACUUGCUGGUAUGAGCAACAAGAUAUUAUUGUCUACAUAUGCCUUCCUUCUUUUGUGUAUAAUCCUUAACCAGUACUUACUAGAUGAAAUGGGUGCAAGAAUCGAUGAAUUGGAGCUGAGCAUCAACGACCUCAAGGCUGAAAUGGGCAGCGAUGGUAUGACCCCUACUAAAGUGAAGGACGAAGAAUCAAAGCCAGCAGACAGCUCUUCAUGAGUGAAGCAGCAGAAAUAGCAGAAGCGAGUCAUAUUAGUCUUGGUUCCAUGUUGAUAUCAUCAACCUUCAUUACUAACUUAUGCAUGUUAUGAGAUGUUAUUCGCACUGUUAUAUGCAUUUGAGGUAUACAGUAACUGUCAUGAGAGAUUUCUCUUAACGUGUUGAUGCUUGCUGAGUGGAUUGCUAUAAAUUUUAGUUCCCAGAAAUGGUCUAAAAAAAUGUGGCACUCAUAUCUUUUUUUUAUGGACCAAACUAGUGUGGCAAUCAUUUUAUUUGAAAGAGCUAUUAAUGGCCUUGCAGCAAAAUUUAACUAUGCUCUGAGCUAUGGGGUGCAGAACAAGCAUGGCAGAGUUUAAGCGGCAUUUAUCACACUUUCACUUUGCCCUUGGGGCCAUCAUAGUUGUUAGUCGGGUGAUAUUUUUACAUUCUUCAGGUGUCUCAUACAUAGAAUAGAAAAUCCCUGCAAAAAUAUUGUUUAUCCAACAUUGUUUCUAUUGUUGCAUCAUUUCAACCACGCAUGCACAACAAAAAAAUCUUGGGUAUGCAAUAAAUCUACAUUUGUUGAAACAACAGCAUAAAAAUUGGUUAACAACACACCAUGAAAAUAACAAAAACAUGAAGAGAUGGAGACAUUUGGAACACAAAUUGAAAACUGAAUUGUUGCAACAAAGCGUGCCUUCACAGACCCAACAACACCAUACAUAUUACCCCCGGUCCUGAUGUUUUACCAGUCUUUAACCACUGCCACGUUCAUGUUUUCCUCAACACUAACGAGGGUCAUACGUACAGUAGUAUCAAAAAACACAGGUCAUACAUGAUCAUCACGAGCAAUUGAGAGCAGCUCAAGCAACACCAUUAAUUAGCCAAAUGGGAGAUCAACUCAACUUCAUUGGCGUUAACAGGUGGGACACGACCAAAUAAAUCUUCCCAUCAUUCUUUCAAGAAGCGAACAUGGGUAUAAAUUAAAGAAAACACACCAUCCAAUACAACAAAGGCAUAAACGAAUAGCCAUAUUUUGCACGCUAACAAAACCUCGCACCACCGACACCAAAUAAUGUACAUACAUGCCAAGAGCCUGUUCAGAUAUGGGGCAGUAUUCCUCUGGAGAGUUUUGGUAUUUAGUUCAAAUGUGGACUAAACACCGAAGCUACCAGAAAAAGUACCCCCCCCCCCAAAAAAAAAAAAAAAAAAAAAAAACCUAAA
rnacentral:lncRNA from 1 species